GCGGAAUUGAUUUGAAAGCUUGCUUUCAAUCAACUUACCGGCGGACGGGUGAGUAACACGUAGGCAACCUGCCCCACAGACUGGGAUAACUACCGGAAACGGUAGCUAAUACCGGAUAAUUCCUUUUGGCUCCUGCCAAGAGGAUGAAAGACGGAGCAAUCUGUCACUGUGGGAUGGGCCUGCGGCGCAUUAGCUAGUUGGUGAGGUAACGGCUCACCAAGGCGACGAUGCGUAGCCAACCUGAGAGGGUGAACGGCCACACUGGGACUGAGACACGGCCCAGACUCCUACGGGAGGCAGCAGUAGGGAAUCUUCCGCAAUGGGCGAAAGCCUGACGGAGCAACGCCGCGUGAGUGAUGAAGGUUUUCGGAUCGUAAAGCUCUGUUGCCGGGGAAGAACGUCCGGUAGAGUAACUGCUACCGGAGUGACGGUACCUGAGAAGAAAGCCCCGGCUAACUACGUGCCAGCAGCCGCGGUAAUACGUAGGGGGCAAGCGUUGUCCGGAAUUAUUGGGCGUAAAGCGCGCGCAGGCGGCUAUUUAAGUCUGGUGUUUAAACCAUGGGCUCAACCUGUGGUCGCACUGGAAACUGGGUGGCUUGAGUACAGAAGAGGAAAGUGGAAUUCCACGUGUAGCGGUGAAAUGCGUAGAGAUGUGGAGGAACACCAGUGGCGAAGGCACACUUUCUGGGCUGUAACUGACGCUGAGGCGCGAAAGCGUGGGGAGCAAACAGGGAUUAGAUCCCCUGGUAGUCCACCCCGUAAACAAUGAGUGCUAGGUGUUAGGGGUUUCUAUACCCUUUGGUGGCCGAAGUUAACACAGUAAGCACUCCGCCUGGGGGAAUACGGUCGCAAGACUG
rnacentral:rRNA from 1 species